AACGAACGCUGGCGGCAGGCUUAACACAUGCGAGUCGAGCGCCCCGCAAGGGGAGCGGCAGACGGGUGAGUAACGCGUGGGAAUCUACCCAUCUCUACGGAAUAACGCAUGGAAACGUGUGCUAAUACCGUAUACGUCCUUCGGGAGAAAGAUUUAUCGGAGAUGGAUGAGCCCGCGUUGGAUUAGCUAGUUGGUGGGGUAAAGGCCUACCAAGGCGACGAUCCAUAGCUGGUCUGGGAGGAUGAUCAGCCACACUGGGACUGAGACACGGCCCAGACUCCUACGGGAGGCAGCAGUGGGGAAUAUUGGACAAUGGGCGCAAGCCUGAUCCAGCCAUGCCGCGUGAGUGAUGAAGGCCCUAGGGUUGUAAAGCUCUUUCACCGGUGGAGAUAAUGACGGUAACCGGAGAAGAAGCCCCGGCUAACUUCGUGCCAGCCGCCGCAGUAAUAC
rnacentral:rRNA from 1 species